GAUGAACGCUGGCAGCGUGCCUAAUACAUGCAAGUCGAGCGAACAGACGAGGAGCUUGCCCCUUCGACGUUAGCGGCGGACGGGUGAGUAACACGUAGGUAACCUACCUAUAAGACUGGGAUAACUUCGGGAAACCGGAGCUAAUACCGGAUAAUAUUUCGAACCGCAUGGUUCGAUAGUGAAAGAUGGCUUUGCUAUCACUUAUAGAUGGACCUGCGCCGUAUUAGCUAGUUGGUAAGGUAACGGCUUACCAAGGCAACGAUACGUAGCCGACCUGAGAGGGUGAUCGGCCACACUGGAACUGAGACACGGUCCAGACUCCUACGGGAGGCAGCAGUAGGGAAUCUUCCGCAAUGGGCGAAAGCCUGACGGAGCAACGCCGCGUGAGUGAUGAAGGUCUUCGGAUCGUAAAACUCUGUUAUUAGGGAAGAACAAACGUGUAAGUAACUGUGCACGUCUUGACGGUACCUAAUCAGAAAGCCACGGCUAACUACGUG
rnacentral:rRNA from 1 species